rnacentral:rRNA from 1 species
AGAGUUUGAUCCUGGCUCAGGAUGAACGCUGGCGGCGCGCCUAACACAUGCAAGUCGAACGGCACCCACCCUCGGGUGGAGGCGAGUGGCGAACGGCUGAGUAACACGUGACCAACCUGCCCCACGCACCGGGAUAGCCAGGGGAAACCCCGGGUAAUACCGGACGUCCCCGGGACGGCGCAUGCCGUCCCGGGGGAAGCCCAGGCGGCGUGGGAUGGGGUCGCGGCCCAUCAGGUAGACGGCGGGGUAACGGCCCACCGUGCCUACAACGGGUAGCCGGGUUGAGAGACCGACCGGCCAGAUUGGGACUGAGACACGGCCCAGACUCCUACGGGAGGCAGCAGUGGGGAAUCUUGCGCAAUGGGGGCAACCCUGACGCAGCGACGCCGCGUGCGGGACGAAGGCCUUCGGGUCGUAAACCGCUUUCAGCAGGGACGAGAAGAGACGGUACCUGCAGAAGAAGCCCCGGCUAACUACGUGCCAGCAGCCGCGGUAAUACGUAGGGGGCGAGCGUUAUCCGGAUUCAUUGGGCGUAAAGCGCGCGUAGGCGGCCGCGUAGGCGGGGGGUCAAAUCCCGGGGCUCAACCCCGGUCCGCCCCCCGAACCCCGCGGCUCGGGUCCGGUAGGGGAGGGUGGAACACCCGGUGUAGCGGUAGAAUGCGCAGAUAUCGGGUGGAACACCGGUGGCGAAGGCGGCCCUCUGGGCCGAGACCGACGCUGAGGCGCGAAAGCUGGGGGAGCGAACAGGAUUAGAUACCCUGGUAGUCCCAGCCGUAAACGAUGGACGCUAGGUGUGGGGGGACGAUCCCUCCGUGCCGCAGCCAA